GGAUUCCCAGGAGACAUCGGCCCCCCUGGCGACAAUGGCCCAGAAGGCAUGAAGGGUAAGCCUGGAGCCCGAGGCCUGCCGGGACCCCGUGGGCAGCUGGGGCCCGAGGGAGAUGAGGGACCCAUGGGGCCGCCAGGGGCCCCUGGCUUGGAGGGUCAGCCUGGCAGGAAGGGGUUUCCUGGGAGGCCCGGCCUGGAUGGCGUGAAGGGGGAACCAGGGGAUCCUGGUCGGCCGGGGCCUGUGGGAGAGCAGGUUAGUUAGCAACGGUCUCUGAAUGAGUGGCUCCAUUUAUUGGGCCCUUACUCUGUGCCAAGCCCUUUGCCCAGCACCCUCCAUGCACCACCUCGUGUAAUUCUCAGAACAAUUCCAGAGGUAGGUUUAGUCCUCUACCCCUUUCACGAAUGUGGACGGUGACCCUCAGAACGGGGAAGUCUGUAAAUGAGAAAGCUGUGGAUCAUAGUCA
rnacentral:sRNA from 1 species